rnacentral:tRNA from 1 species
GCGGACGUGGCGAAAUCGGUAGACGCGACAGACUUAAAAUCUGUUUCCCAUGGAGUGCGGGUUCAAGUCCCGCCGUCCGCACCA